rnacentral:rRNA from 1 species
ACGAACGCUGGCGGCGUGCUUCACACCUGCCAGUCGAACGGAAAGGCCCUGCUUUUGUGGGGUGCUCGAGUGGCGAACGGGUGAGUAACACGUGAGUAACCUGCCCUUGACUUUGGGAUAACUUCAGGAAACUGGGGCUAAUACCGGAUAGGAGCUCCUGCUGCAUGGUGGGGGUUGGAAAGUUUCGGCGGUUGGGGAUGGACUCGCGGCUUAUCAGCUUGUUGGUGGGGUAGUGGCUUACCAAGGCUUUGACGGGUAGCCGGCCUGAGAGGGUGACCGGCCACAUUGGGACUGAGAUACGGCCCAGACUCCUACGGGAGGCAGCAGUGGGGAAUAUUGCACAAUGGGCGGAAGCCUGAUGCAGCAACGCCGCGUGCGGGAUGACGGCCUUCGGGUUGUAAACCGCUUUCGCCUGUGACGAAGCGUGAGUGACGGUAAUGGGUAAAGAAGCACCGGCUAACCACGUG